rnacentral:misc_RNA from 1 species
UUGGAACCAAUGGGGAGAGGCGGAGACAUUCUCCAGGAUGGCAAGAGGACACGAACCUCGGUAGAAACACCCUCCAUGCGGCGGGCGGAAAAGCGAGGCGGCAGUUUCGAGCAGGCGGCCUGUCUGGGGCGACAGGAGCAGGAGCCGCAACGGAAGAGGGUUUGCAGCAGCAGUGAAGAGGCCAAGGUUUCCGGGCGGGAACGAGAAUCGCCGGCCCGGCGGCACAAGUCGGCUGAAGGCGGAAGUGUGGACGAUUCGACAAAUAUAACAGAGCGUGUGGGGGAGCCAUGCGAAGCAGCGCCACCUAAAGGUUCACAGACGACUUGUGCCAGUCAGCCGGGCGCGCGAUCGACGGAGGAGGUGUCGGACUCGACUGCGGUCCCAUCGUCCGGGGCGCCGGCGAAACGUGGAGCUAACCAGACGCAGUCUGAUCAGGAGGCCCUGGUCAAGUCCGGUCAGAAGGAUCGGACAGAAGUGGAACGAGAACCCCUGGUCAAAGGCGCUUCGAUAUCAGGACAGGGUUCGGCGAUGCGUGUCAAGCCCCCUGCUGGACGACCCGUCGAUAGGAUGCAAAGCGACAGGCGUAGCUCUGUUCCUCUCCCGUCAUGCGGUCCUCCAUCACUUUUGCUUCGCGGGACGGAGCGUGUCACUGCUCAGGCACGGAGCGUGACAUCAGCACCAUGUCCUGCGUUUCCGGGAAAUGUUGGGCCUAAUGAGGCCCGAGCUACUGCAGGCACCACUACAGCCGCUGUUGAAGUUUCGAGUCAGACCAGACACGCUCCUGUGGUCUCCGGUCCGACCAGACCCGUCUCUGUGUCCACUGUUACGGUUGGAUCUGCUUCCUGUGGAUCUGGUCAGACCGAACUCGCUCCUAGCAGUUCGGGAGAGAUUGAGAAGAUCCCCGCUGACUUGGACUCAGCUAAGCCGUCCUGUGGGCACCUGAAACAGACGGGGGCCAUCUCUGAGAGCGCGAGGCAGACGCUGAGCUGCGCGGAAAACCGGGGUCUACUUGGGGCUGUUUCCAAUGACACGCCUGACCCGCUUCCAGCCUCUAAAGAGGUGGAGGGCAUUUCGAGUACGCGGCAGAAAACCACCAGUGCUCCUGCCAACCCGCCUCCGACAGUCGGCGAGCACCAGUCGGGGGCAUCAACGUCCGGGGGUCGGCCAACGGCGCUGUCGGUUGGCUCCACCCAGCUGACUCACGUAGUGAAGCUGCCCGACCCGGUGCUGCAUGGUGAUGCCGCCCUGGCGUGGGACUCGACGGAGGACCCGCGCGGCAUUGGCUUCUCGUCCGAAAUGCUGUACCAGCCGCCGGAGCGCGGCCCCCAGUCCCCUAACGUCAGCUACUGCGUGCUGUGUUGGGACGGUGGCGAGCUGCUGCUCUGUGACCACUGCGAGCGCGCCUUCCACCGUGAAUGCUACAUCGGUCCUGCGGACGACUCUGACAGCGGGCCGUGGCAGUGUCUGAUGUGCCGCGUUAUGCCGACCCCCAUGAGUCCGAUGGAGCGGCGCGUCGGGUGACCAGAUGAACGCGGAGGACAUGACGUUAGCCCGUCGUUUGCUGAUGGAGCUCUAUGCAGCCUACUAUCCGUCCAUGUACUUCAAAAACCUGGAGGCCAUGUCGGAGCUGGCCGACUUCGAUCAAAUCCCGCGGCCUUUGUGUCUGGACCAGAUCAAGGAACGGCUGCUCGCGCGAGACUUCUCCACGCUUAUGCGCUUCCUCCAUGCCCUGAAGAAGCUUGUCGACCAGCGUCAGUAUUUUAAGAAAGGCACCACCCCGGACAAGUAUUUGAAGCAGUUGGAUGAUAUGCUGGAGCAGUUCCUCCUGCAGCAUAUGCAUAGUUAUUGGCUUCACGUGGACGAUGUCCGAUCUUCCAAAUGACGGCACGCCUGAUGGGGGCGGCUGGUUCUUUGCGGCCACCAGCCAACUACCUGGUGAAUGGGUCG